AGACGGAGGGAGCAAGCGUUGUUCGGAUUUACUGGGCGUAAAGGGCGUCUAGGCGGGUUGGUCAGUCAGGUGUGAAACCCCCCGGCUUAACCGGGGAUCUGCACUUGAUACUGCCAAUCUUGAGUAUGGAAGAGGAAAGCGGAAUUCCAGGUGUAGCGGUGAAAUGCGUAGAUAUCUGGAAGAACACCGGUGGCGAAGGCGGCUUUCUGGUCCAAUACUGACGCUAAAGCGCGAAAGUGUGGGGAGC
rnacentral:rRNA from 1 species